UACGGAGGAUGCAAGUGUUAUCCGGAAUGAUUGGGCGUAAAGCGUCCGCAGGUGGCAAUGUAAGUCUGCUGUUAAAGAGUCUAGCUCAACUAGAUAAAAGCAGUGGAAACUACAUAGCUAGAGUACGUUCGGGGCAGAGGGAAUUCCUGGUGUAGCGGUGAAAUGCGUAGAGAUCAGGAAGAACACCGGUGGCGAAGGCGCUCUGCUAGGCCGUAACUGACACUGAGGGACGAAAGCUAGGGGAGCGAAUGGG
rnacentral:rRNA from 1 species